UACGGGGGGGGGCAAGCGUUGUUCGGAAUUACUGGGCGUAAAGGGCUCGUAGGCGGCCAACUAAGUCGGAUGUGAAAUCCCCAAGCUUAACUUGGGAACUGCAUCCGAUACUGGAUGGCUUGAAUCCGGGAGAGGGAUGCAGAAUUCCAGGUGUAGCGGUGAAAUGCGUAGAUAUCUGGAGGAAUACCGGUGGCGAAGGCGGCAUCCUGGACCGGCAUUGACGCUGAGGAGCGAAAAGCUAGGGGGAGCAAACGGGG
rnacentral:rRNA from 1 species